AAUAGAUCAACUAACUUUACUAACUCAUCACACACAUUAUAAUGUAAGUAGGUACAAUUAUUGUUACUUCUGGAGUCGGUGUCAGCCAACUAAGAUAGGUUUGUUAUUUACCUAUUAUCACAACAAAUCAUUACAGUUUUACACCAAUUGUAAGUAGGUACUUAACCACCACUCCGCCCGUGCCGUGCUAGUUGUUGGCGUUUCCCAGGCUGACACCGACUCCAAAAAUAACAAUAAUUGUAGGGGAAGUCAGCUCAAAGCGGCCAUAGGAGGCAAAGCGGCCACUCCUAAUUUUUCGGUUAUUUGAAAUGAUAGCGCAACAUUGCCGUUCUGUACGUAUAACCAAACCUCCCGCCCCGCGCCAGUCACUCAUUUUCAGGAAGGAGAACGAACGCGUGGUUCUAGUAACGACAAAUAUGUUUUUGUGCGUUUUGUUAAAAUAAUACGAGAUGGUCAAUAACUACAAGAGAAAAACAGCGCAGGCUUCUUGGGACGAAGCUGCGAUGCCCCGAGCCAUUAAAGAGGUCACAGAAAAGCGUAAGUCAGUUAAAUCUGUGUCAAUAUAAUACGGUAUCCCUCGCACAACGCUGAGAAGGCACCUGGAUCUGCCAUAAAAAAACUUGGCAGAUUUACCACAGUGUUUACACCACAACAGGAACAAGGCGUCUUAGAGUACUUGUUUCAUAUGGACAACCUCUUUUUUGGCCUCACAAAGGAAGAUUUUUUGCAGCUUGUGUUUCAAUAUGCUGAAUCAAACCAUAUUCCACAUCCUUUUGAAAAUGAAACGGUUGGACACGAUUUUUAUAAAGGCUUCAUCAUGCGUCAUCCUAAUUUAACCUUGCGACAACCAGAACCCACAUCCAUAGCCAGAGCUCGAGGCUUCAACAAAUCCCAAGUAUAUCGAUUUUUAUAAAUUACUUUUAUGACUGACUGUGAUUAAAAUAGGUAAAAUGUUGUUGAUUUUUUUUAUGUGAAUUAUAUGUGUUGAUUUUUGA